rnacentral:tRNA from 1 species
GCCCCAGUAGCAAAGUGGCCUACUGCGCCUGACUUGUAAUCAGGAGAUCGCGAGUUCGAAUCUCGCCUGGGGCUCCA